rnacentral:rRNA from 1 species
AGAGUUUGAUCCUGGCUCAGAUUGAACGGUGGCGGCAGGCUUAACACAUGCAAGUCGAGCGGUAGCACGGGGGAGCUUGCUCCCUGGGUGACGAGCGGCGGACGGGUGAGUAAUGUCUGGGAAACUGCCUGAUGGAGGGGGAUAACUACUGGAAACGGUAGCUAAUACCGCAUAACGUCGCAAGACCAAAGAGGGGGACCUUCGGGCCUCUUGCCAUCAGAUGUGCCCAGAUGGGAUUAGCUAGUAGGUGGGGUAAUGGCUCACCUAGGCGACGAUCCCUAGCUGGUCUGAGAGGAUGACCAGCCACACUGGAACUGAGACACGGUCCAGACUCCUACGGGAGGCAGCAGUGGGGAAUAUUGCACAAUGGGCGCAAGCCUGAUGCAGCCAUGCCGCGUGUGUGAAGAAGGCCUUCGGGUUGUAAAGCACUUUCAGCGAGGAGGAAGGUGGUGAACUUAAUACGUUCAUCAAUUGACGUUACUCGCAGAAGAAGCACCGGCUAACUCCGUGCCAGCAGCCGCGGUAAUACGGAGGGUGCAAGCGUUAAUCGGAAUUACUGGGCGUAAAGCGCACGCAGGCGGUUUGUUAAGUCAGAUGUGAAAUCCCCGGGCUCAACCUGGGAACUGCAUUUGAAACUGGCAAGCUAGAGUCUCGUAGAGGGGGGUAGAAUUCCAGGUGUAGCGGUGAAAUGCGUAGAGAUCUGGAGGAAUACCGGUGGCGAAGGCGGGCCCCUGGACGAAGACUGACGCUCAGUGCGAAAGCGUGGGGAGCAAACAGGAUUAGAUACCCUGCUAGUCACGCUGUAAACGAUGUCGAUUUGGAGGUUGUGCCCCUUGGAGGCGGUGCCUUCCGAGCC